CAGUGUUGUUGUGAGAGCUGUGUGAGGGUACAGUGUUGUUGUGAGAGCUGUGUGAGGGUACAGUGUUGUUGUGAGAGCUGUGUGAGGGUACAGUGUUGUUGUGAGAGCUGUGUGAGGGUACAGUGUUGUUGUGAGAGCUGUGUGAGGGUACAGUGUUGUUGUGAGAGCUGUG